rnacentral:lncRNA from 1 species
ACCCGUCGCCGUCCGUCGUUCUUUUCGCUCUCCACCGUCACCUCCUCCUUCACUUUCACAUCCAUCUCCGCCGCUACCACCACCUCUCCCGGCAACGACAGUCUCAACGACGUCUCCGGUUCUCCUCCUCCAACGCUGUUCCGGUCAAAGCACGUACGCUUCAAAGAAGCUUCCGAGUCAUCAUCAUCGUUAUCAUCGUCAUCCGACGCCGACCUAGAAACUUCAUAACUCGGCCGCUUCAGAAAUGCCGUGGAAUCAGACGACAAGUCGGCAUCACGACGGCGUCUAAGCGUCGAGUUCCAAUGAUUCUUAAUCGCAUUGUCGGUUCGGCCAGGUAACGAGCGAGCAAUAGUGGACCAUUUGUUACCAUGAACAGCGUGCGCUUGAAGAAUCAAAGCAUCCUCCGCUGGAGUAAAGGGACGAUGCUGAACGGUGGGACUGAGCUGAUUACACCAACGCAAACGGCAGGACUUACCGGAACGACCAGGAAUUCCAGUGCUGAUCAAAGACCAAUUUCUGGGGCCAUGCUGUUCAACCAAUUUGAUUAAGGUAGCGUCCUCUUGAGGACUCCACGACCCCUUAACUCGAUUAUGAUUAUUAUUAUUGUUGUUUGAAUUUGUAUUGUUGUUGUGAUUUGGGAGGGCGAUUCCGAUCAAAACCAUGGCGGAAUUUGGAUUUGGAUUUUUAGGGUUUUGAAGUUUAAUUGAAGAAGAAGAAAGAGGAGAGAUAAAUGGGAGAUUUUUCUAACCGUUUCCAAACAGGGGUUGUUGGGCAUGAACCGUAAAACCGCUACUUCAAAUAACGACUUUCUCACUACUUCCACUUCUAACAAAUACACACACCAAAAAACCGCGUUUGUUUCUUUCUUUUCCUUUAACGUCCCUACACUCCUCACUUUUUUCAUAUUAGUCCUCAUCUUUUAUAAUCAAUUCUAAUUUUUCUCUAUAAAUUGCUUCAUUUUUGCAUUUUUAUUUACUGUUUUCUAAAUUGUGAAAAAAAAUGUAUUUUCUUGUUUGAGAUUGUUAGAUUUAAGAUUAAUCAAAGUAUAUAUAACAACUCAACUUGGAUAACUUAAAAAGGAAAGAGACCAAUGACAUAGUAUAUAAAUCUAUAAAUUUAACCAUUUAUUUAUUUACUAUUCAAAUGAAGUUGAAAUACUUUAAAAUUUAAUCUCAACGCUACAGAUUUAUUUUAUCUUGAUCUUUCCAUUUUAAAAAUAUGUAAGACUUUUAUUUUUUAAAAGUUUAGUUGAUGUUAGUUUUUAAAAUUUUGUAGGGAUGAAAAUGAAAAUGGAAAAAGAAAAAAAGGAGUAGGUGGGGAGAGAGGUUUGGAUGAGGGAAAGUAAUGGAAAGACGUAACGGGUAUCCGUUUACAUAGGGAACUGCCAAGGCAGAGUUUAUCGGUGUCACCGUAACAGCACACUGUUGUAGUGAAUAACGUUCAAUUACCAUGCGUGGCUUUCUUGGACUCUUCCUAACCGCUUUCCUAAAUUCUUAUUCUUUUGUAUAUAUAUAUAUAUUCAAUAAUAUUUUAUAAUAUCAACCCUAAAUUCAAUAAUGAAAGAAAAUAGUAUCUAAAAAACUUUUAAUUUUGUGUUUUGUAUUUAUUGAUCUAUUCGAUAUUUC